UACGUAGGGACCGAGCGUUGUCCGGAUUCAUUGGGCGUAAAGAGCUCGUAGGCGGCCACUCAAGUCGAAUGUGAAACCUCGAGGCUUAACCUCGAGCCUGCAUUCGAUACUGGGCGGCUAGGGUCUGGUAGGGGGAUCUGGAAUUCCUGGUGUAGCGGUGGAAUGCGCAGAUAUCAGGAGGAACACCGGUGGCGAAGGCGGGAUCCUGGGCCAGUACUGACGCUGAGGAGCGAAAGCGUGGGGAGCGAACAGG
rnacentral:rRNA from 1 species